rnacentral:rRNA from 1 species
CACGUAGGGUGCGAGCGUUUGUCCGGAAUUAUUGGGCGUAAAGAGCUCGUAGGCGGUGUGUCGCGUCGGCCGUGAAAACCUGCAGCUUAACUGUGGGCGUGCGGUCGAUACGGGCAUCACUGGAGUUCGGCAGGGGAGACUGGAAUUCCUGGUGUAGCGGUGAAAUGCGCAGAUAUCAGGAGGAACACCGGUGGCGAAGGCGGGUCUCUGGGCCGAUACUGACGCUGAGGAGCGAAAGCGUGGGGGAGCAAACAGG